UGUGGUUACUUGGUGCACUAUAAAUACAUCGACCAUCGACCUAACACAAUCAAAACACUUAGAAUUUUCAUCCUUAUUCAUAUUUUCUUUCAACCAAACAUAUCUUCCAGAUAAACUCUUUGUUGAAGUUCAGUCUCAGAGACAAUGAGUUUUUCAUCCAUAAUGGCAUUGGUGCAUUACAACGGUCACAUCUUCAAAGAUCAACAAAUGUCCUCAAUAUAUGUCAGUAAAAUUAGUAGCUAUGUUGAACUGAAUAAUUACAUGACAUUAUCAUUUCUUAAACAAACCAUUUUAAAUUUAUUCAUAGCUUCUUAUGGCAAAUCAUACACGCUUGAUUUGUGUUACCGUUAUCCAGUCACAAUGGAUGACUUCAACAUUUCUUACCGUUCCAUGAUAAUUGAAUAUGACUAUGAUGUACCAACUGUGAUUAGUUAUGCAAAAAGAUACGAAGCUCAUGUGCAGUUUGAAAUCAUGGCGUUUAUUCGAGAAUAUAACCACACACCAACCAAUAUGAUUUGGGAGCUCAUGGAAAAACAACUAGACGAUUCCUUGAAUAUAGAGUGAUACUGUCAAUCUCAUGUGUUUUUUUCUUUCUUUUAAUUUCUAAUGUAUUUUUUUGUUCUGUUUCAAGAUAUGUUUAUCAUGUUCCAAAGUUAAUAAUAUUACUAAUCUAUUGUUUA